GACGAACGCUGGCGGCGUGCUUAACACAUGCAAGUCGAACGGAAAGGCCCUGCUUUUGUGGGGUGCUCGAGUGGCGAACGGGUGAGUAACACGUGAGUAACCUGCCCUUGACUUUGGGAUAACUUCAGGAAACUGGGGCUAAUACCGGAUAGGAGCUCCUGCUGCAUGGUGGGGGUUGGAAAGUUUCGGCGGUUGGGGAUGGACUCGCGGCUUAUCAGCUUGUUGGUGGGGUAGUGGCUUACCAAGGCUUUGACGGGUAGCCGGCCUGAGAGGGUGACCGGCCACAUUGGGACUGAGAUACGGCCCAGACUCCUACGGGAGGCAGCAGUGGGGAAUAUUGCACAAUGGGCGGAAGCCUGAUGCAGCAACGCCGCGUGCGGGAUGACGGCCUUCGGGUUGUAAACCGCUUUCGCCUGUGACGAAGCGUGAGUGACGGUAAUGGGUAAAGAAGCACCGGCUAACUACGUGCCAGCAGCCGCGGUGAUACGUAGGGUGCGAGCGUUGUCCGGAUUUAUUGGGCGUAAAGGGCUCGUAGGUGGUUGAUCGCGUCGGAAGUGUAAUCUUGGGGCUUAACCCUGAGCGUGCUUUCGAUACGGGUUGACUUGAGGAAGGUAGGGGAGAAUGGAAUUCCUGGUGGAGCGGUGGAAUGCGCAGAUAUCAGGAGGAACACCAGUGGCGAAGGCGGUUCUCUGGGCCUUUCCUGACGCUGAGGAGCGAAAGCGUGGGGAGCGAACAGGCUUAGAUACCCUGGUAGUCCACGCUGUAAACGGUGGGUACUAGGUGUGGGGUCCAUUCCACGGGUUCCGUGCCGUAGCUAACGCUUUAAGUACCCCGCCUGGGGAGUACGGCCGCAAGGCUAAAACUCAAAGGAAUUGACGGGGCCCCGCACAAGCGGCGGAGCAUGCGGAUUAAUUCGAUGCAACGCGUAGAACCUUACCUGGGUUUGACAUGGAUCGGGAGUGCUCAGAGAUGGGUGUGCCUCUUUUGGGGUCGGUUCACAGGUGGUGCAUGGCUGUCGUCAGCUCGUGUCGUGAGAUGUUGGGUUAAGUCCCGCAACGGGCGCAACCCUUGUUCACUGUUGCCAGCACGUUAUGGUGGGGACUCAGUGGAGACCGCCGGGGUCAACUCGGAGGAAGGUGGGGAUGACGUCAAGUCAUCAUGCCCCUUAUGUCCAGGGCUUCACGCAUGCUACAAUGGCUGGUACAGAGAGUGGCGAGCCUGUGAGGGUGAGCGAAUCUCGGAAAGCCGGUCUCAGUUCGGAUUGGGGUCUGCAACUCGACCUCAUGAAGUCGGAGUCGCUAGUAAUCGCAGAUCAGCAACGCUGCGGUGAAUACGUUCCCGGG
rnacentral:rRNA from 1 species